rnacentral:rRNA from 1 species
GACGGAGGAGGCUAGCAUUGUCCGGAAUUAUUGGGCGUAAAGAACACGUAGGCGGUUUGUCAAGUCAUGUGUGAAAACCUUAGGCUUAACUUAAGGAUUGCAGAUGAUACUGGUAAACUAGAGUACAGUAGAGGAAAGUGGAAUUCCUGGUGUAGCGGUGAAAUGCGCAGAUAUCAGGAAGAACACCAGUGGCGAAAGCGGCUUUCUGGACUGUUACUGACGCUGAGGUGUGAAAGCUAGGGGAGCGAAC